rnacentral:lncRNA from 1 species
UUCAAGACAGUUCACGGAGGGAGAACUUGGGUCGUGACAUAUCUAAACAAAAAUCACAUCACAGCUCUAGGGCCCACAUCAAAAUCUCGGUAAUCGAAUCAAAUUAAUAACCAGCUCUCCCAGAGCUCACAUCAACCAGAAAUCCGUCGAUUACUCAUAAUUCGCGUGUAUACUAUCAAGAGAGAAACAUGAGAGGGUGACCCUAGGGGGAUGGAUUCGUAUCCACACGAUGCAUGACCAAUUUAACAUGCUACAUGGACAACUCACGUGCUAAUAAUAUCAACCGCAUAGACGACUCACAUGCCAUAAUAUCAGUAUCUGGAUCCGCAUAGAUAACUCACGUUCUACACGGACAACUCACGUGUCAAUAAUCACAAUCUGCCCAGCGUGGUCAUAAGCUCAAUAUCACAAUCCGUCCAGCAUAGUCAUAGGCAUAACAACACAAUUCACCCGAUGUAAUCAGAGGCAUAACAACACAAUCCGUCCGAUGUGGUCACAUGCAUAACAACACAAUCUAUCCGGCGUGGUCACAAGCAUAACAACACAAUUCACCCGACGUGGUCACAAGCUUACCAACAUAAUCUGCCUAGCAUGGUCACAAGAGUUAGUCCAAAUCAUAUCACACAUAAGCAAAUAUACAAGAACACAUGUAUAUGAUCAAUGAAUAUAAAAAUUUCAUGUUCCUGGACUGAUAUAAGUGAUAUGCUAAAAUAUAUGCAUUUGCAAAGUGUGCUAUCAUAUAUAAAUGAUAUGCUAAAGUAUAUGCAUGUGCAAAGUGUGCUAUCAUAGCUCAAAUCGGUAAUUUCAUCAGGAAAAUUAGCCUCUAUGUAAGCUCAAAAUAUGGAUCAAAUAGUUCACAACAGGGUUACAAAUAUAAAAAAUUAUCGCAGUUUAAAGCUUAAUAAUCAAUUUAAGACAUGUCAUAGCCUAAACAUUACCCCGAGCAUGGAUAACUACUCUGGUGCUUGCAUAUGGGCUCAGUCCCCACAUAUAUGCACACCUAUAACAUGUAGCUAUCACAAAUAACUCAGGAAACUAAUGCCUCAAUCAAGUUUAGGUAAGAUACUUACCUCAAGCAAGCCAAACAAUACUCUAGAAACGCCAUUCCGCAUGAAUCGACUUCCAAACGACUCGAAACUUGCCAAAAACAACUCAAAAAUAUCAAAUAAUGCCAAAGGAAACCAACCCAAACGAUAAAGGUCAAAUCUUUUAUCAAAUACUCAAAGUCAACCCCAGGCCCACACCUCAAAACCCGACAAAACUCAUAAAUUCCGACAAUCUAGACUAUUAUGAGUCAUCCAUACUAAUUUAACUCAAAUCCGACUUUGAAUUGAUGUUCAAAACUCAACUAAUCACUUUAGAAAAGUUUAGACAAAAACCCCCAUGUGGUGAAAAUCCUCUCCAAAAUCUCUCAAAACCAAGCUCCAAAUCUAAUAAAUGAGAUAAAAUGAACAAACACUUUGAAUAAAUAGAAAUUUGCCAGCCUAUGCACAUGUGUGAACAACAGGCCGCUCCUGUGACAAAAUUCCCGCUUCUGCAGAGACCACUAAAAUUCCGACCUCUCGCACCUGCGGACAACUUUUCUCUUCUAUGAUAUCGCAUAUGCAAUGUACCUUCCGCUUCUGCGAAGCACUCUCCUAGCAUGCCUUCCCACUUUUGUGCAACUCUGCCUGCCUCUAUGACAUUAUGCCCUAACUUAACCUUUUGCAUCUGCGCCUCCUCACUUGCAUUUGCGGCUCUGCACUUGCGCCCAAAAAUUUUGCAGGUGCAAUGACACUAGACCCCUGCCAAACCAGUCAUCACCAAUAUGACUCAAAGUGGUGCGAAACCCAUCCGAAACUCACCCGAGCCCUUGGGGACCCUGUCCGAGCAUACCAACAAGUUCCAAAACAUAAUGCAGACCUACUCGAGGCCUCAAAUCAUACAUAACAACAUCAAACUACGAAUCAAAGCUCAAAUCAAACUUGAUGAACUUUUGAACUUUCAACUUCCAAAACUCGUGCCGAACCAUAUCAAAUCAAAUCGGAAUGACCUCAAUUUUUGCAAACAAGUUUCAAAUGACAAAACAAACUCGUUCCAACUUCCGAAACAACAUUCCAAUCCCAAUAUCAUUAAGUCAACUCUCGAUCAAACUUAUGAACUAUCCAAAUCUUCAAAUUAUCAACUUUUGCCAAUUAGCUCCAAAACCUUCUAGAAACAUCCAAAUGCAAUUCGGGCAUAUUGCAAGUGUAAAAUCACUAUCCAGACCUAAUAGAAUCGUUAAAACUCCGAUCCAAGGUCAAAUACAUAAAAGUCAAACUCGGUCAAAUCUUCUAGCUUAAAGUCUUCUAUUUGAGAAUUAUUCUUCCAAAUCAAUCCCAAACCACUCGAAAACUAGAACCGACGAUACCCACAAGUGAUAAUUCACCAUAUGAAGCUAAUCAAGACCUCAAACCAGUGAGCUGAAUGCAAAUGCUCAAAACGACCAAUUAGAUCGUUUUAUUUUUACCAUGUCGAAUUUGUCAAUGCUUGAAGUUUGUGGUACUUGACAUUUUUGAAAAAAAUUACCUAUCAUGGGUUCUUGAUACUAAUAUUUACUUAGACACUAAAGGUCAUGGUGACACUAUUAUUCAAGUUAAUGAAGCAUCAAGCUAGGACAAAAAAAGGCUAUGAUUUUUCUUUGUUAUCAUCAGGAUGAAGAUUUGGAGGUUGAGUAUUUGGCAGUAAAAGAUCCACUUGAAUUGUGGACUGGCCUAAAGGAAUUGUAUGAUCACCUUAAGGUUACAAUAUUUCCAGGGCAAGAUAUAAGCGAAUAUAUUUACGGUUGCAAGAUUUAAGAUAGUACUAAGUAUAACUCUGUUGGUGUAUUUCGAAUAACUUCCUAAUUAAAAUUAUAAAGAGAUGUUAUGAAUGAUGAGGAUUUUUUGAAAAAGACUUUUACAAUUUUUCAUGCCUCAAAUAUGGUAUUAUAACAACAAUACCGUGGAAGGGGUUUUAAAAAGUAUUUUGAAUUGAUCUCAUGCCUUCUGGUGGCAGAACAACAUAACACUCUUUUGAUGAGAAACCUAUCUCACAUAGUCAACUUCAUUCCCCGAAGCAAAUGUGAUAGCGACACAUGAUAAGUCUGAAAAAAGAUAAAAUAAUUAUCGUGGCUAUAUAAAUGUGUAACAACCCGAUCGGCCGUUUUAAAAAUUAAUACCUCGAUCCCCUAUUAACUGCUUUUCCUAUGUUUGUUUAUGCUAUUUUGAUUUGCCGGGAUGUUUGGUUUUGAGUUUCGGAGAGUUUUAGGACACUUAGUCCCUAAAUGAGAGUUUAAGUUUUAGAAAUUGGACCGUAGUCGGAGCAGUGUGAAGACAACCUCAAAAUGGAAUUUUGUUGGUUCCAUUAGCUCCGUUGGAUAAUUUUGGGCUUAGGGGCGUAUUCGGAUUGUGUUUUGGAAGUCCGUAGCUAAUUUAGGCUUUAAAUGCCGAAAGUUGAAUUUUUGAAGUUUCCGGUUCGAUAGUGAGAUUUUGAUAUCGGGGUUGAAAUAGAAUUUCAGAGUUGGAGUAGAUUUGUAGUGUUUAAUUUGACGAGUGUGCAAAAUUUCAGGUCAUUCGGACGAGGUUUGAUAGACCUUUUGAUCGAAAGCGUGGUUUGAGAGUUUUUGAAAUUCUUAGGCUUGAAUCCGAUGUAAAAUUGGUGUUUUGAUAUUGUUUUGGACAUUCUGAAGGUUGGAACAAGUUUGAAUGAUGUUUUAGGAUUGGUUCACAUAUUUGGUUGAGGUCCCGGGGGCCUCGGGUGUGUUUCGGGUGGUUAACGGAGGGUUUUUGACCCUAAAAGAAUUGUUGUUGCUGCUGUAUUUCUUGGUUCUGGUUUCCUUAUAUGCGACCACAAUAGUGGGGCUGUGAUCGCAUAGGUUUGUUGGUGAGGCGGCAAAAUUUGUACUAUGCGAUCACCAAGAUUGGGCCGCGAUCACAAAGUGAGAGGAGUCAAAGCAGUGCGGUCGCAUGAGGUUGUACGCGAACGCAUAGUGUGGACGCGUGUGGCAUGGGGUGAUUGGUUACUCUGUGCGAACACGGUUGGGUGUAUGAGAUUGCGUGGAGGGAGGAGAGCCAGUGCUAUACAAACACGUGUGAUGGAUCGCGAACGCACUGAAAAAUUUUAAUAAAAAGCUGGGCAGUGUUUUAAUAGCCCAAUCUGCGACCCUUCUCCAUUUUUCUACCAUUCUUGAACGAGAUUAAAGCUUUUGAGAGAGAUAUUUGAGGAAACCAAAGGGGAAUCAUUUGGAGGUAAUAUUCUUGACUUCAUAACUCAUUUAUAUUGUCACACCUCCUUUUUACCUACCCCAGAAGGGAUAUAAGGGAGUCUUUUCCAAUUUAAGUGACAAUCGAAACAUGAAUAUUUAAAUUAAAAUCAGAGUCGCCACUUGGAAUAAUUUAUGGUGUCCCAAGUCACCAGUUUUAGAAUCCCAAAUCGAGGAAAGAUUGACUCUGUUUUACAGUCCGCGAAACACAGAAAUCCAGGUAAGGAAUUCUGUUAACCUGGAAGAAGGUGUUAGGCAUUCCCGGGUUCCGUGGUUCUAGCACAGUCGCUGAACUAUUAUUAUUAGAUCAAUUAUCUGAUGUAAUUACACAUUUUAAACCUACGUUCCCUUUUAACUUUUGGUCGCUUUUAAUAUUUCAGGAAAUUUUAAGGUUAUUUAAAACAUAUCGUAAGCCACGCUACAUGAAACGCACCUGCGGUUCACGACGCGCUUUAUUUAACCUUGUUAGAAAUUAGAAUCGGGUCACAUGAAAUGCACCCCGGAUUUUAGUAAUUACAAAUCACAACUACGUCACGAGAACCAUACCCGUAGCCAUGAUAAUUAUUUAAUUAACGUGCCUAAAGCAAACUACGAAAUUUAUUUUAGUAUCUAAGUUAUAAGAUUAAUAAGAGGGCCAUAAAGGAUUUAAUUAGGAUGUCACACCCCAAUACAAUUAAAAGGGCUAUUCCUAAUUAUGCUUAUAGAACUAAUGUGUUAACCCUUUCAAAUAACAAUCACAUUCUUAAUUCUAACUUAACAGGCGCAUUCAAUUAUCUUUUAAACAAAUCUGACUUUUCACAGCAUAUUACAAUACCUCAAACACUCCCCAAAUUCCGAAGUUCUUUAACCAAAUCACUGAAAAGCUCACAACAAAUCACAACACAAUUUUGUGCGAAGCAACUCUCGAUAGAAUUUUCCAUUCUGUAGCAUACUUGACAUGUUAAAAUCAUAAAAAAUUUCUAAACUGAAUGGGCAAAUACUCAUAAAUAGGGCAGUUUUUUAUUCCCGAACUUUAAUUCUUCAACAACACAUAUUGCUCAUAUUUUAAAAUCAAAGAACACCACCAAGGAAUCAUACAAAACCCAUAGUCAAUUCAUGAUUUACUAAUAGCUACAAGGCCAAGCAAAUUGCAGACAACCACAGAGCAAUACAACCCCAAACACUAGCUCAAAUCAUAUUUAGCUCUAAAGUGAAAUAAAAGAGAUUAGAAGUAACCUGAAAUUAGCUUUCCAAUUAAUAUUAUUUUUGGCAGUUACAAAAAGUGACUCGAGCCAAAUUGAAUGAAUCGGCAACGAAGGUUUUCAAACGGAAUCACCAAAGAGAAGAUGGAAGCCUUGACCGGAAACUAUGACGAAUUCACACGGGAACUCAGACUCUAACCUCGAGCAGCAGUCAUGCUACUCGAACUUGAACACCUCGAGCAAUCUCCAUCUUUUGCAACCAAAAUAGAAUUUGAAAAGAAGAGAUGAAACUUAUAUUAUUUUUGUAUUUUUGGAUUUGUGGCAGAGAUGAAACAAGAAGGAUCUGAGUUUGCUUUCAUGUGUUUUUAUGGACUUUAGAUAGAAUGAAAUCCCAAACUAAGGAGGCAAACACAAAACUGAAAAUCUCUGUCCGUUUCCCCCAAAUUUCAGUUCGAUUUUUCUCUGUUUCGUUCUUCUUCGGCUGUUUUCCUAUAUUUCAUGUAUAUGACUGCUCUAAGUUAAAGACAGGAAGGUGAAGAUGGGGUCUGGUUCGUGUCCGUUUGGUCACUGCUGUAGGUUGUGGGUGCGUGUAUAGAGAUAGAGAUGAGGUCUUGGUUGCUUGGGGUGUGGAGGAGAUGAGGAGUUCUAUUGUUUUUGUCAAUGGUGAAAGGAGUGGGUGUUUGGUUGAAGAAGAAAGCAAAACCGAUGGAGGAGGGGGCUCUUCUGUGUUCUCUGUGGCGGAUGUCAAGUCUCUAGGUCUAGGUUAGUUUUUGUAGGUUUUUUUAGGUUAAGGGGUAUGUGCAUAGGAAUUAUGGGCUUGGGAAUUAUGGGCUAGGUCCGAAAAUUAAGCUUAGAAAUGGGUUGUUUGAGCCCAAG